AUGGGAGACUCUAAUCGCAAGUAGACAUUGGGACGAGGGGAGGGCGGCUGGAUGAGAUGAACAGUCAAAAAAGCAGAGCGUCACUUAACCCGGGUAAUUCACUGUGCGAUAACCUUUAGGUUUUUGCUUGGCGCUCGAGCGCCUUGGGGAGCCUGAGAGGUGUGCCUGGUGAUCGUGACAGAAUAAGCCGCGUAACCUUUUAGUCGAUUCCUCGAAAUACUUUUUCUUUUUUUAAAAUGUUAGCUUUGAAUUUAGGUGACUUGACUACCCCCACCAAAUUUGGGCAAGAAUAUCUUUUUUGCUUUCAGCAUUUCUGCUUCCGCGGGCCCGUCUGGGGUCCCUUUUCAUGGGGAAACUUGACAAACUUUUUGUGAAAUAGAGGUCGAAAGUAAAGUGGCUGAAUGUGAAGGAUAACGGAAACACAACAGUUUUCAUCAGAACUGUGCUGUCUUUAAAUGUGCAUCGUCUGAAUUAAGAUGUGCUGUAAGUAUAAAAUACACACCAGAUUUCAAAGAUUUCAUAUAAAAUAAUGUAAAAUAUCUCAUCGAUCAUCGUAAGUUGGUUACAAAUUGAAAUGGUAACAUUUUGGAUAGACCGAGUUAAAUAAAAUGUAUUAUUAAAAUUA